rnacentral:rRNA from 1 species
CAGCAGCCGCGGGAAUACGUAGGGUGCAAGCGUUGUCCGGAAUUAUUGGGCGUAAAGAGCUCGUAGGCGGUUUGUCGCGUCUGCUGUGAAAUCCCGAGGCUCAACCUCGGGCUUGCAGUGGGUACGGGCAGACUAGAGUGCGGUAGGGGAGAUUGGAAUUCCUGGUGUAGCGGUGGAAUGCGCAGAUAUCAGGAGGAACACCGAUGGCGAAGGCAGAUCUCUGGGCCGUAACUGACGCUGAGGAGCGAAAGCGUGGGGAGCGAACAGGAUUAGAUACCCGGGUAGUCCCUGUCUCUUAUAC